UACGGAGGGGACUAGCGUUGUUCGGAAUUACUGGGCGUAAAGCGCACGUAGGCGGAUUUGUUAGUCAGGGGUGAAAUCCCGAGGCUCAACCUCGGAACUGCCUUUGAUACUGGCGAUCUUGAGUCCGGGAGAGGUGAGUGGAACUGCGAGUGUAGAGGUGAAAUUCGUAGAUAUUCGCAAGAACACCAGUGGCGAAGGCGGCUCACUGGCCCGGUACUGACGCUGAGGUGCGAAAGCGUGGGGAGCAAACAGG
rnacentral:rRNA from 1 species